UAUGGCCACAUCAUGUUGAAACUCCAGUUCCCAUAUGAUCACUGAAGUUAAGCAACAUCAAGCUUAGUCAGUACCUAGAUGGGUAACCGCUUGAGAGUACCAGGUGCUGUAAG